GUUUUGACUUAAGCGCUAGUUUUUAGCCAUCGCUCACUAUUCUGAUUUACCAGACUGUUUAUUGAUUGAGUUUUUCUGCGAUGGAAUAAAUCAAC